AGCUCUAGAGAGAUAGGGUGUGUUCUGGGACUGGUGGGGUUCUAGGGAGGGACUGGAUAGGACAGGAUCUGUGUCUGUCGGUGACAGGCGACCCAACUGUGGCUAUCUCAGUCACAUUGUUUAUCCAUCUGUCCAUGUACACUGUGUAGAAUGUCUGCCAGUGGGUGAAAUCUGUGUGUCACACAGGGAGGGAAUGACAGUGGUGGGGUGGGACUUCCUCCCCACUUCCCCAGUUGUAACCGUGAGUACCACUGCGCUCACUAAUGACUGAAUAGGGCUUAUAUGUGCAUGUCUUCCUCUUUCAUCUAUAAACUGGAUGGUUUGCAUUUCAUUUACUAAAAAUCAAGAAAGUUGUUCUGCUACAUUUAAAAGAGAAGAUAAAAUUAAGUUCCUGUACACUUCUAAUACUGGUUUUUAAAAAAUGCCUUUCCAUUUGGUAUUCAGUUUUUGCUACAGGUCAGGGUUUUGUUGUGCUUGCCCUGAAAAGUGGAACUAGAAAAGCAGAAACAAAUAAUAGCCCAGUAACCUUGCCACAUGAACCUUUUGGACUUCUUAGAGAGUGUCAACAAGUGUGUGGAUAAAGGUGAUCCAGUUGACAUAGUAUACCUGGACUUCCAAAAAGUUUUCAACAAAGUUCCUCAUCAAAGACUCUUGAGAAAACUUAAUAGUCAUGGGAUAAGGGGACAAGUUCAUGUGUGGAUUGAUAACUGGUUGAAGGACAGGAAACAGAGGGGCAGCAUGAGGAGAAGAAAUACAGCCUCAAUUGAAACCGAUGAAGUGGCACUCAUUCUCUAAAUGCCUGCCUACAGGCAGUAAUGGGCUGGAUGAGAGACAAAAAAUUGAAGCUGAAUCCAAGCAAGACGUAGGUGCUCAUGGUGGGGGCUCAGAAUCUGAGAGCAAAAAAACCAAACCCAAACGCAACAACUGCAAGGGAGAUCAGAGGAAGAUACACAAACAUCACAGGGAGAUGGAAGCUAUUGGCUUGUAUGGAUAAAGGAAAAGCAUCUGUAAUCACAGUAAUGACUGUGGGAGCACAUGGCACCCUUGACUCCCACACCAGGCUCUAUUAGUCCAGGAAAGUGUGGUCCUCCCAUGAGAAAUUCUCCAGCUUGCUCCUUCUACGGCCAUUUUAUCUGCUGUGUUACCACUUCCUUUUCUUUCCCUCUGUGGUCAUGUCAGAAAUCCCUGGGGGCUGCAUUUCACCAAAUUAAUGAACUGCUCCUGAUCAAGAUUUUUCUUCUUCUUUCCAGCUGAUUUGAUUGCAGAGUAUUUGGUCAAUAAUAUAUCCUUAGCACUGAAUAUUAGUUGUAGCAUUGUUUUAAGUACAGGUAUUUAUUUAUGCUUAAACAGGCACAAUGUUCUCAGAUAUGGGUAUGUGAUCAUUACAAGCCAAGGAGAACUCCCUGUGUAGCCUCAUGAAGGAAAUGAAAUAGUAUAGAGAGUUUCUUAAAAAUAGCCUUGUGUAAUGUCAUGGCAAAAACUAACACUUGCUCCAUAAAAAGGACUCAAGAAAAAAUAAAUAAAUAAAUAAAUAAAGCAAAUACCUGGUAGCCAUGAUUUAACAAAUGAACCAUAAUUUUAGCUGGUACAUAAAUGGGCCACAUUAUAUUUUAUUUUAUGCAUUAUUAAAAGGCCCGAGUUAUUUUUAGUACAGUAAAAACUGUCAGCAUACACAAUAUCUUUGUUCAUUCUUCAUUUACAAUGCUUGAAAUUGCACCCAGGAGUCUUAUGCUUCUAUAUUUUGUUUCUUGAUUUUUUUAAAAAAAGAAAGAAUAGGAAAGAUAAAAAUAUGUUGACUUCCAAAUAUACAGUCCUAUCCUAAUUAAUGCAAAUGCUCGGCAAGUCCCUUUAGCUGUGGCAAUAACACUAAUGGGUUUCAUUAGUGAGUCUGCAUCCUUCUUUCUCAUUUGCAGUACAAAAAUCAUUGAUGCUUCCAGCGAUGUUCAAAAACAUCGCUAGAGUAAAUAGAUGUGAAAUUGAACUUCACUUCCUGUGUACCCUUGGGAAUAUUUUCUAUUCUAAGCUGCACAUUAAGGAGUAAAAAUGUAGGGCAGUUUGAUCCCCCGCUACCCACUGACCUGCACACAAGACAGGAUUAUUGUUAUUGUUAUUGUUAUUUCUUCUUUACACAGUCAGACAGGUGUUAUUGACUGGUUUGAUUUAUCUAUACAUCGAGUCAUUCCAAAGGACCUGGGAUGGCUGAAUUUUAUUAUCAGUAUCGUUGUUGUUAUUAUUAUAGAUAUCGUCGUAGAAUAUAGGCUGUUCCCAGUAAAGUUGCUUUUUGUAAUUGGCUGAUGGUGAUUUCUGUGGCCCAUAUGGUGUUUAGGUGCUCUUCAAGAUGUUUUGGAAUUGCACCUAGGGCGCCAAUUACCACCGGGAUUAUUUUGGUCUUCUUCUGCCACAGCCUUUCAAUUUCAAUUUGUAGAUCUUUGUAUUUCAAUUUGUAGAUCUUUGUAUUUCAAUUUGUAGAUCUUUGUAUUGUUGUUGUUGUUGUUGUUUACACAUUCAGACAGGUGUUAUUGACUGGUUUGUUUUAUCCAGACAUCGAGUCCUUCCCAAGGACCUGGGAUGGCUGAAUUUUAUUGUCAAUGUUGUUGCUGUUGUUAUAGAUAUCAUCGCAGAAUAUAGGCUGUUCCCAGUAAAGUUGCUUUUUGUAAUUGGCUGAUGGUGAUUUCUGUGGCCCCUAUGAUGUUGAGGUGCUCUUCAAGUUGUUUUGGAAUUGCACCUAGGGCGCCAAUUACCACUGGGAUUAUUUUGGUCUUCUUCUGCCGCAGCCUUUCAAUUUCAAUUUUUAGAUCUUUGUAUUUUGUUAUUUUUUCUAUUUCCUUUUCUUCUAUUCUGCUAUCCCCUGGUAUUGCUAUGUCGAUUAUUUUGACUUGUUUUUCUUUCUUCUCGACUACAGUUAUAUCUGGUGUAUUGUGUGGCAGAUGUUUGUCUGUUUGUAGUUGGAAGUCCCAUAAUAUUUUUGCAUCUUCAUUUUCCACAACUUUUUCAAUCUUAUGGUCCCACUAAUCUUUGGCUGCAGGUAGCUUGUAUUUUUUGCAGUUGUUCCAGUGUAUCAUCCCUGCUAUCUUGUAAUGCCUUUGUUUGUAGUCAGUCUGUGCGAUCUUUUUACAACAGCUGAUUAGGUGGUCCAAUGUUUCAUCUGUUUCUUUACAAAGGCGGCACUUGCUGUUUGUUGUUGAUUUUUUUGACUUUUGCUCUUAUUACAUUGGUUCUUAGUGCCUGUUCUUGUGCAGCCAGUAUUAAACCCUCUGUUUCUUUCUUCAAGUUGCCAUUCUUAAGCCAUUGCCAGGUCUUGGUGAUCUUUGAUUUUCCAGUUAUAUUGUGCAAAUAUUGACCAUGCAGUGGCUUAUUUUUCCAUUUUUCUGUUCUGUUCUUGACUUGUUCUUUCUUGUAGGCCUGCUUUGUUUCAUUGGUGUUUAAUAGUUUCUCGUUCUUGACCAUUUUAAGUGCAUCUUCUUCACUGUCCUUGAUAUAUUCUUCCAGGCCUCUUUUCUCCUCCUCUACUGUUUGAUGAACUUGCAGCAUUCCUCUUCCACCUGAGCUGCAAGGGAGGUAUAACCUAUCGACAUCACUGCGGGGGUGCAGAGCAUGACUCAUCUUCAUCAUCAUCAUCAUCAUCAUCAUCAUCAUCAUCAUCAUUUCUUGUUUACACAGUCAGACAGGUGUUAUUGACUGGCUUGUUUUAUCCAGACAUCGAGUCCUUCCCAAGGACCUGGGAUGGCUGAUAGUUAUUGUUGUUGUUAUUGAGGAACCUGGAUGUUAGACACAGCAAUAGUAUGUGACAUUUCAAUACAGGAAUACUCCAAGAGGUAAGUCAAGGGGGAGGGAUGCUUGGAGUCAUAUAUUUUAAAGUGUUACAUUGCCAGCAAGCCAUAUUGUGGUUUUCCAAUGGUGCCAUUCAAGCAUAUUAAUAGUAUUUGAACCAAUGUUCUUAGAUCCUGUUCAUAUAUGUGUAUUGAUGAAUUAAAAUGACUAUCUGCAUAUGUGGAAGAGCAGUCAAAGAGCAAACACCAGAUAAAAAGA